ACAGGUGGUGCAUGGUUGUCGUCAGCUCGUGUCGUGAGAUGUUGGGUUAAGUCCCGCAACGAGCGCAACCCUUGAUUUUAGUUGCCAGCAUUUAGUUGGGCACUCUAAAGUGACUGCCGGUGCAAGCCGGAGGAAGGUGGGGAUGACGUCAAAUCAUCAUGCCCCUUAUGACCUGGGCUACACACGUGCUACAAUGGAUAGUACAAAGGGUCGCGAAGCCGCGAGGUGGAGCUAAUCCCAUAAAACUAUUCUCAGUUCGGAUUGUAGGCUGCAACUCGCCUACAUGAAGCCGGAAUCGCUAGUAAUCGUGGAUCAGCAUGCCACGGUGAAUACGUUCCCGGGCCUUGUACACACCGCCCGUCACACCACGAGAGUUUGUAACACCCGAAGUCGGUAGGGUAACCUUUAUGGAGCCAGCCGCCGAAGGUGGGACAGAUAAUUGGGGUGAAGUCGUAACAAGGUAGCCGUAUCGGAAGGUGCGG
rnacentral:rRNA from 1 species